ACAAUUUGAGUAUUGAAUUUCUUGGUAUUUAAUAAGAAAUCAUGAAGUACUUCUCAAGCAUAGCUUUCUUUAUAUUUGUCCUCUUUAGUGUUCUCGGUAAGUUUCAUACUCAUUUAUAUGAUCUAUUUAAUUUGUCAUUCUUGAGUCUAGAAUUCAACAAAAGAUUUAUGAUAUUUUAAUAAAGAAAAAAGGCAUAAAUAUCCCCCAACUUAUGACUUAAGUUUUACGGGGUUCGAUUACCCUUAUAUUAUUCUAAAGUGGAAUAAAUAUCUUCUUAAAAUGUCAUAAUCAUAUUUUUCUUGGGAGGUGAAACACACUCGCUUGUCAUGUGGAUUUUGUUACCUUUUUUUUUUUUUUGCUCUCAUUAUGUUUCUUAUUUUUAUUUAUUAUUCUAUUCUUUCAUAACUAGUAGCAACACCAUGACAACAAUAAAGACCAAAACUUAAAUUCUCUGAUUUUGAUUUCGGUUCAAAAGAUGAUAUUCCCGUAUGACUAUUUCUUUGUCAUUGUUAUUAUCAAAUUUUUAAGAAAAGAACUGUAUAUUUUCAAAAAGAAAGGAAAAAAUAUUAGUUAAGUUUAUGUCAUAGAUAAUUAUGUGUGAUAUCCCAUAAAAAUAUGACAUGUGUACGUAUAAUCAAAUUUUAAUUUAUUUUUUUGCUAAUAUAAAGAUAAGAAUAAAUCCAAAAAAGAUUGAGGAAAAAGUACCCAUCUAAACUUAAAAAAUAAAUUUUCAAAGGAAUAGUGUUGUAAAUAGAGUUCAACGUCUUUCAAUGGUUGCUUUGUCAUCAGAGGGAGAAGAAAAAAAAUAAAAGACAAAAGAUUAAAAAAGAAUAAGAGAAAAGACGUAUAAGUAAUUUUUUUGGCUUCGCACUCAAGAAAGAAAAGAAAAUGACGUGUAAGUAAAUUUUUUCGGCUUCGCACUCUUUCAAAUAAAGUGAAAUACACAUACUUUGCCGUGUUAGCCAUGAGGGUGGGAAAAAUUCCACCUUAAUUUUAUUAUUUAGGGAAAUUAUGGUACAAUCUUUUAGCUUUAUAGUCUUUUAAUAUGUUUUUUCCAUUCUCACAUUGAUUUUAUUUUGCUUACAAAAAAAUGAAGGCACUAGGACGAAUGGAAUAUUAAACCGGUGUCAUGUGUACAUCCCAUCAACCACAAAACCUUGUGAUGCACGAAAUUGCAAUAGCUUAUGCAUUAGCAAGUUCAGUAGCGGCCCUCCACCUCCUGGUAUUCGCGGAGAAUUUCAAAUAGGAGAUUGUGACCCUGAUCAAAGUUGUGAUUGUAUUUUCUGUUGCGAAGAUAAACCGUGUUGAUCUCCGCUUAAGAAUUCUUCUUCAUGUAAAGGUGAAUUCAAGAUUUAAACUCUAUCAGUUCAAUUUUAUGACGC
rnacentral:lncRNA from 1 species